AACUUGGGAACUUGUGCUUGCGAGGCAGGCGGUGAAACCACUGAGCUAAAUUCCGGGUCCCAGGAAAGGAAAUUUUGAAUUGCAAUAAAAGUAGGUGAACUGGACAAGAUACUGUUCUUCUAUCUAAAGGAGUAUAUCUUCAAUAAAGGUAAUUCUAAGUACAUACCCGGUAGUGAUCGAAUUCCUACGUCCUGCUAUAGAGAAAGUACCUGAAUGUCCAGAUGUAGGACCAUUGUCUAACACAUUUCUUACCUUGAGGUAAAGUUUGGAAAUAUUCCUACGAAGAAUCUCUUCUCUUUACCAACCAUCAGAUUUCUGACUUCUGUGACCAGCCUCAAAGCCCACUGCCAGACUCCAUCUGAGGCAGGCACAGCCACCACGCGGAAUUGUGCCGUCACACAGGCAUCCCCAGGAGAUUGAAUGGUGCACCCUACUGCCUCAAAGCCUGCUCUCAAAGCAAAGCUGCCUAUGAGGGACAGUCACCACAGUGAAGAAAGCCAGGAAGCAAUAGCCGAUUCUGCCUCUUUGUAAGUUUCAUCUGUGAUACCCUGAGCCUCAAAGCUCACUUCCAAUCUACAUCCAGGAAGGGAGGCAAAUCUCCUAAAUGUUUCUACUGCAUGUGACGGUCGAUCUGCCCCUCCUGAUCCAUGGAGCCACCCAUCUGCCAUGCAACUGUCUCCAGCUGCUGAACUCAGAUAAUGAUAACUUGUCCAGGGAAUGUGCUCUGUAGCAUCAGAAGCAAUCAUGACCUCACCCAACACCUCAGACUCAUAGCAUAGUUCAACCAAUGGUCUUGCAGAUAGAGGACACAGUCAUCUGUUCUACCUGGAUUCAGAAAAGGCAUCGUCCCAGCCAUCUAGAGAAGCUGAAAAUCAGCUCUGCCUGUACAGGGCCAUUAUCAGCUAGACUGCCAGAAACAUAGGGUAAAAUAAACCGAGAAAGUUUGUCACUGCCAAAAAGCACAGUCAAAAGCUAUACAAUGAACAGACAUUUACAUACACAAAAGGAUUCCAGAGACUGAGAAUUUUGAUACUCCCAAUAAAAGUUCAUUGACCUCCCACCGUGGACCCCAAGCAAGCCUGUAAUGAUAGAAAAAGAAUUCCGAAUAAUCCACUUUAAAAAGUUCGGUGAACUCCAAGAGCACAUGGAUAAAAAAGAAGAAGGAAAUUUAGAGCAGUACAUGAAAAAAUGAGAAAUUUGACAAAGAAAUAGAAAUAACAAUAAAAAUCUAAAUCUUGGAGAUGAGAAGUACAAUGAACACAAUGAGUGAACUACAAAAAGCAGCAGAAAGUUUCAACACUUGGCUUGAUCAAACUAAAAAAAAAAAAAAAAAAAAAAAAAGAAAUCAGUGAAUUUGAAGAAAGAACAUGUAAAGUAACCCAAUCAGAGAACAAAGGUAAAAAUGAAAAAGAAUUAAAAAGGCAAUGGGGUUUAUGAGACAUUGUCAAAGCUAAUGUGUAGUAGGAAUGAAAGAGAGAUAAAGAGAAAAGAGAAAGAAAGCUCAUUUAAAGGGAUAUUGAUGAUGACUUCAUUAAUCUGAGGAGAGAAGCCAACAUCCUAGUCGAGAAAGUGUCAAGAGCUCCAAUCAAAUACAACCUAGAAGUUCAUUUUAACACAUAAUAUUCAAGCUAUCAAAAAGUCAAAGGCAAGGGAAUAUUCUAUGAAUCAUGAGAUAAGAAAUGUAUCACAUACAAAUGAGUCCCAAUAUGCCUCCUUAGACUUCUCAGCAAAUAAAUACUUUGCAGGCCGUGAGAAAGUGGAUGAAAUAUUGAAAGUGCUUAAGAAAAAGAGCUACCAACCAACAAUUGUCUUCAGAAAGUCGUCUUCAGAAACAAGAGUUUAUAAAGACGUUAUCAGACAAGUCUGAGAACACUGAUUAACCCCAGACCUGUGCUAUGAGAAAUGCUAGAGCCUUCAAGUGCAAAGAAAAGAAUGUUAGUGUGCAACAAGAACAUAUCUGAAGGUAUAAAACUCACAGUCUACUGUAAGCCUUUGCGAAUUUGAAAGGAAACUUUCACAUGCUGUAACUAAGUGGCCUAGGACCACAGACUCUCCGCAUUCUGCAGUGCUGCCAUCUGGAUGAUGUGACCCUAAAGUUGUGUGAGAAAGAGAAUGGAGAAUUCUGUCUCAACCUAUGAAAGUAGAAUUUGUAUGGUCUUGGAAAUCUGCAGCACAGGUGCUACUGAUUGAUCCUGAGGCCACAAACCUGCUAACUACGUGUUCUACUGCUGAGUUGCACCCCAGCCCCAUCCCGAAGGAAAAUGGUGCAGAUUUCUGUGUUCUAUAAAACCAUUUGAAAUCUUUUUGAGGGCUUUUUACUUUAGAAGCUCCUUCCUGACCUUGAGGUGAAAUAACACAGAAGAUGUAUUCCUUCAAUUUAAUGCCAGUUUGAGGUGUUUCUCCUGCAUCAUCAGAUCAAUGAAAAGUAAAUAGCCUAC